AUGAUUUGCAGAUCUUACGGUGAUGCAAUGGGGAUGAUCACUACUGGAAUUCUCGGGCCCCUUAAGUUUGAUAAGUCUCUUAGCCAGGGAACCAUCGAACAGCUGAGGAACCUAGGAACUGGAGGUCUGGACAGUAUCUUUUCAACUAGCAGGCCCAGCAGGCAGAACAGCUUUGGCAGCGUCGGCACCCCUAGGACCCCUGGGACUCCAGUCUUUCACGCAGUCUCGAAUGUGGCGUCCAAAGAGGCCCUGGAAGCGACAAUCGCCUCGCUACAGAGUGACAUUUCUGAAUCCAAGGCCAGAUGCGCGUCCCUAACCAGCGGAGAAAAUAUGCAGUCCCAGGUGACGCAAAUGAGAGCCUUGAUCUGA
rnacentral:rRNA from 1 species